GACGAACGCUGGCGGCGUGCUUAACACAUGCAAGUCGAACGGAAAGGCCCUGCUCGCAGGGUACUCGAGUGGCGAACGGGUGAGUAACACGUGGGUGAUCUGCCCUGCACUUCGGGAUAAGCCUGGGAAACUGGGUCUAAUACCGGAUAGGAGCCAUUUUUAGUGUGAUGGUUGGAAAGUUUUUUCGGUGUAGGAUGAGCUCGCGGCCUAUCAGCUUGUUGGUGGGGUAAUGGCCUACCAAGGCGGCGACGGGUAGCCGGCCUGAGAGGGUGGACGGCCACAUUGGGACUGAGAUACGGCCCAGACUCCUACGGGAGGCAGCAGUGGGGAAUAUUGCACAAUGGGCGCAAGCCUGAUGCAGCGACGCCGCGUGGGGGAUGACGGCCUUCGGGUUGUAAACUCCUUUCGCUAGGGACGAAGCUUUUGUGACGGUACCUAGAUAAGAAGCACCGGCUAACUACGUG
rnacentral:rRNA from 1 species